GACAGAGGGUGCAAACGUUGUUCGGAAUUACUGGGCGUAAAGCGCGCGUAGGCGGCCCGGUAAGUCCGUUGUGAAAGUCAAAGGCUCAACCUUUGAAUGCCGAUGGAUACUGCCGGGCUCGAGUCCGGAAGAGGCGAGUGGAAUUCCUGGUGUAGCGGUGGAAUGCGCAGAUAUCAGGAGGAACACCGAUAGCGAAGGCAGCUCGCUGGGACGGUACUGACGCUAAGGCGCGAAAGCGUGGGGAGCGAACAGG
rnacentral:rRNA from 1 species